AAACCCGGACCGUUGCAACAGUUUCAAAUAUCCAACAUCCAAAAAUCUUCAAAAUGAUUCUAUUUGUACUUGUGGUGUUUUUGGCUGGAUGUGAAUCCUAUCCGAAUGGUGCUCCAACUGGAAUUUGUAGUGUACAGAAACAGAGACCAUAUCAUGGACGAUUUUUUCCACAAACGUCGCCACCGCCAUAUCGAAUAUACACGAAUUCUUCUUCGUACAGACCAAAUGACCCCAUUAACAUUACUAUUUCCGGGGAUGGAGCCAGUUUUAAGGGAUUUUUCUUCACGGCUGAUACAACAUCAGCGUCUUUUAAUGGUCGUGUAGAUAAUGUGACAAGUAAUGUCCGAACAGCGGGUAACUGUGGAAUGACGCAUACUGAUAAUUCACCAAAAACAUCCAUUACAUUUCUGUGGACUCCACCAGAACUUGUCCAUAUUGGAAACGUUCAGUUUAUAUCACUGGUUUUGACUAAUUUCUCAACAUUCUGGAAUAAUAUCCGAUCUGAAGUUUUGGAGCCGGAUUUUACCGUAUACGAAACGCACAAAUCCGUAUGGACAAAGAUGUACGCUGAAGCCCAGAACGGUCAGCAGCAAGGUGGUACACUAAGUGGUCAAACCCAGAACGUUCAGCAGCAAGGUGGUAGACAAAGAGGUCAACGCCAAACCAACACAAUGCUUAACGUCAAUGGAAUGCAAUCUCAGUUUCGCUCAAUUAAUGGUUAAUGAAUUUAGCAAAUCGACAAAAUGUGCUCAAUUUUUUAUUGUAUCAAUA